UACGAAGGGGGCUAGCGUUGCUCGGAAUCACUGGGCGUAAAGGGUGCGUAGGCGGGUUUUAAGUCAGAGGUGAAAUCCUGGAGCUCAACUCCAGAACUGCCUUUGAUGCUGAAAGUCUUGAGUAUGGGAGAGGUGAGUGGAACUGCGAGUGUAGAGGUGAAAUUCGUAGAUAUUCGCAAGAACACCAGUGGCGAAGGCGGCUCACUGGCCCAUUACUCGA
rnacentral:rRNA from 1 species